rnacentral:ncRNA from 1 species
UACAGACAGACUUUGGGUGCUAGGAUCUUGAGUCCAGAGGGAAACAGCCCAUAUCGUACGCUAAGGUCCCUAUACAAUCGCUUAAUGAAAAAGGAAGUGAUCUUGGGAUGACAACCGGGAGGUGGGCCUCGAAGUAGCCCUCCUUUGAAGAAAGCAUAAUAUCUCACUGGUCUAGCUCCAUGGCACAGGAAAUGCAUCGGGGCUAGAGUGAUUCUCGGAAGCCACGACACCCUCGAAGCGAGGCGCGAACCAGGACGUUCUCUAAAAUGGGGAACACCAUCUAUCAGGAGUGAGAUUCAAUUUUAUUUCAAGGCUCCAUUUCCAUUGAAAUACCAUAGAAUAAUUUGGCAUAUAUGUUAACCCCGAUCUAUUAUUAAAAUAUGUUCGUUUAUACCCUUUCUAGACCUCAAAGAAUGCAGUCUUUCUCAUACUGUAAGGACCAGUCAUACCACUCGGAAAUAAUGGAGAAAGCUUUAGUUGUAAGCGCCAGUAAUAAGCGCGGGUUGUAAGCACCAGUUAGAAGAGUUAGUUUUUAGUUAAGAGUCAGUUGUCUAGUUAUUUUUUGGUUUGCAUGUAGCGGGAGAG